rnacentral:misc_RNA from 1 species
UUAAAAUGUGUCCCUCGUUUGACAGAACUUUCUCUGAGGUAUUAUCGUAAGGACUGGAAAGAAUUUGAUGUUGCAAAUUUUUUAACAUCAAACUUUUUUGAGUCAUGUCCUGAUCAUCUCGAGCAUCUUCACUUGGAUUAUGGGGUCAUUGCUAAAGGCCAAGAAAUACCGAAAAAGCUUCCCUUUGAUCUGUUGUGUGUCAAACAUCUUUGCAUGUGUAUUUAUCUUGACAGGGAUGAGAUUCUGUGUCCUCUUUCGUUGAUAAGAAGCUUCCCAUUUUUACAAUAUCUAGAAAUUCAGAUGGAGCAUAAUUUUAAGAAGAAUAUGCCGGCUCUAGAAUGUCUUGAAAUGGAAGCUUUUCCAGAUGUGAUAUUCGAACAUCUAAGGGAAGUGACGCUAAUAGAAGCUAAUGCGAGUAUACGGGAGAUGCAACUUAUCAAGCUUCUGUUAGCCAUGUCUCCGGCGCUAGUGAAAAUGGUAAUCAGUCCUCACAGGUUUUUGGGAAAAUCUACUAUAGUCAAAACACUUACUAAGCUAGCAGAAUUUGAGUGUGCACCUAAAGCAGAAAUUUUCCUUAAACUAGUAUAAAUACCAUCAUGUUUUGGAUGUUGAGAUUAAGAGAUAGAAGUGAAUGUUGAUGCAG